rnacentral:rRNA from 1 species
GAAUUUUGGGCAAUGGGCGAAAGCCUGACCCAGCAACGCCGCGUGUGGGAUGAAGGCCCUCGGGUCGUAAACCACUGUCAGGAGGAAAGAAAAGCCGGACGGAUAAUACCCGGACGGCCUGACGGUACCUCCAAAGGAAGCACCGGCUAACUACGUGCCAGCAGCCGCGGUAAUACGGAGGGUGCAAGCGUUGUUCGGAAUUACUGGGCGUAAAGCGCGUGUAGGUGGUCGAGUAAGUCGAAUGUGAAAGCCCCGGGCUCAACCCGGGAAGUGCAUCCGAAACUGCUCGACUAGAGUCCCGGAGAGGAAGGCAGAAUUCCCAAUGUAGGGGUGAAAUCCGUAGAUAUUGGGAGGAAUACCGGUGGCGAAGGCGGCCUUCUGGACGGUGACUGACACUCAGACGCGAAAGCGUGGGGAGCAAACAGG